CUACACGACCGUACCGCAAACCGACACUGGUGCGCGAGAUGAGUAUUCUAAGGCGCUUGAGAGAACUCAGGAGAAGGAACUCGGCAAAUUGACACCGUAACUUCGGAAGAAGGUGUGCCUUUAGUAGGUGAACCUGUACAAGGGGAGCCCAAUGAGGUUGCAAAAAAUCGGUGGCUGCGACUGUUUAAUAAAAACACAGCACUCUGCAAACACGAAAGCGGACGUAUAGGGUGUGACGCCUGCCCGGUGCUGGAAGAUUAAAUGAUGGGGUGCAAGCUCUUGAUUGAAGUCCCAGUAAACGGCGGCCGUAACGAUAACGGUCCUAAGGUAGCGAAAUUCCUUGUCGGGUAAGUUCCGACCUGCACGAAUGGCGUAACGAUGGCCACACUGUCUCCUCCUGAGACUCAGCGAAGUUGAAAUGUUUGUGAUGAUGCAAUCUCCCCGCGGAAAGACGGAAAGACCCCAUGAACCUUUACUGUAGCUUUGUAUUGGACUUUGAACAGAUCUGUGUAGGAUAGGUGGGAGGCUUUGAAGUGUGGUCGCUAGAUCGCAUGGAGCCAACGUUGAAAUACCACCCUGGUGUGUUUGAGGUUCUAACCUAGGCCCGUAAUCCGGGUCGGGGACAGUGCAUGGUAGGCAGUUUGACUGGGGCGGUCUCCUCCCAAAGCGUAACGGAGGAGUUCGAAGGUACGCUAGGUACGGUCGGACAUCGUGCUAAUAGUGCAAUGGCAUAAGCGUGCUUAACUGCGAGACUGACAAGUCGAGCAGAUGCGAAAGCAGGACAUAGUGAUCCGGUGGUUCUGUAUGGAAGGGCCAUCGCUCAACGGAUAAAAGGUACUCUGGGGAUAACAGGCUGAUACCGCCCAAGAGUUCAUAUCGACGGCGGUGUUUGGCACCUCGAUGUCGGCUCAUCUCAUCCUGGGGCUGUAGCCGGUCCCAAGGGUAUGGCUGUUCGCCAUUUAAAGAGGUACGUGAGCUGGGUUUAAAACGUCGUGAGACAGUUUGGUCCCUAUCUUCCGUGGGCGCUGCAGAUUUGAGGAAGCCUGCUCCUAGUACGAGAGGACCGGAGUGGACACACCUCUGGUGUAUCGGUUGUCACGCCAGUGGCAUUGCCGAGUAGCUAUGUGUGGAAGAGAUAACCGCUGAAAGCAUCUAAGCGGGAAACUCGUUUCAAGAUGAGAUCUGCCGGGGCCUUGAGCCCCCUAAAGAGUCGUUCAAGACCAGGACGUUGAUAGGUCGGGUGUGGAAGCGCAGUAAUGCGUUAAGCUAACCGAUACUAAUUGCUCGUGCGGCUUGACCC
rnacentral:rRNA from 1 species